GUGAAUCAUCGAAUCUUUGAACGCAAAUUGCACUCUCUUCGGAGAGUAUGCCUGUUUGAGGGUCAGUAUUAAUAAAAAUCGGCGUGUUGCUUCUUUGUGACGCUCCGGAGUUUGGGUCAUCUUAAUAUCCUUUAGGCUUUAAGAGGCUUAGAAUUGACUUUUUUUGCGCUUUUUAGAUGUACAUAAAUUUUUUUUUUUAUUCGUCUGUCUUAAUGCUAAAAAUCCUAUUAGAUGCGAACAUAUCGUGUGGGUUUGCGUCUAUCAAUUUUUCUUGUUU
rnacentral:misc_RNA from 1 species